rnacentral:rRNA from 1 species
AACUUUCAACAAUGGAUCUCUUGGCUCUGGCAUCGAUGAAGAACGCAGCGAAAUGCGAUAAGUAGUGUGAAUUGCAGAAUUCCGUGAAUCAUCGAAUCUUUGAACGCACAUUGCGCCCCUCGGUAUUCCUUGGGGCAUGCCUGUUCGAGCGUCAUUU